rnacentral:rRNA from 1 species
GUAGUGACCUGCGGAGGGAUCAUUACCGAGUUUACAACUCCCAAACCCCUGUGAACAUACCAAUUGUUGCCUCGGCGGAUCAGCCCGCUCCCGGUAAAACGGGACGGCCCGCCAGAGGACCCCUAAACUCUGUUUCUAUAUGUAACUUCUGAGUAAAACCAUAAAUAAAUCAAAACUUUCAACAACGGAUCUCUUGGUUCUGGCAUCGAUGAAGAACGCAGCAAAAUGCGAUAAGUAAUGUGAAUUGCAGAAUUCAGUGAAUCAUCGAAUCUUUGAACGCACAUUGCGCCCGCCAGUAUUCUGGCGGGCAUGCCUGUUCGAGCGUCAUUUCAACCCUCAAGCCCAGCUUGGUGUUGGGACUCGCGAGUUAAAUCGCGUUCCCCAAAUUGAUUGGCGGUCACGUCGAGCUUCCAUAGCGUAGUAGUAAAACCCUCGUUACUGGUAAUCGUCGCGGCCACGCCGUUAAACCCCAACUUCUGAAUGUUGACCUCG